rnacentral:rRNA from 1 species
UUGGGCGUAAGCGAGCGCAGGCGGUCUUUUAAGUCUAAUGUGAAAGCCUUCGGCUCAMCCGAAGAAGUGCAUUGGAAACUGGGAGACUUGAGUGCAGAAGAGGACAGUGGAACUCCAUGUGUAGCGGUGAAAUGCGUAGAUAUAUGGAAGAACACCAGUGGCGAAGGCGGCUGUCUGGUCUGCAACUGACGCUGAGGCUCGAAAGCAUGGGUAGCGAACAGGAUUAGAUACCCUGGUAGUCCAUGCCGUAAACGAUGAUUACUAAGUGUUGGAGGGUUUCCGCCCUUCAGUGCUGCAGCUAACGCAUUAAGUAAUCCGCCUGGGGAGUACGACCGCAAGGUUGAAACUCAAAAGAAUUGACGGGGGCCCGCACAAGCGGUGGAGCAUGUGGUUUAAUUCGAAGCUACGCGAAGAACCUUACCAGGUCUUGACAUCUUCUGACAGUCUAAGAGAUUAGAGGUUCCCUUCGGGGACAGAAUGACAGGUGGUGCAUGGUUGUCGUCAGCUCGUGUCGUGAGAUGUUGGGUUAAGUCCCGCAACGAGCGCAACCCUUAUUACUAGUUGCCAGCAUUAAGUUGGGCACUCUAGUGAGACUGCCGGUGACAAACCGGAGGAAGGUGGGGACGACGUCAAAUCAUCAUGCCCCUUAUGACCUGGGCUACACACGUGCUACAAUGGAUGGUACAACGAGUCGCGAAACCGCGAGGUUAAGCUAAUCUCUUAAAACCAUUCUCAGUUCGGACUGUAGGCUGCAACUCGCCUACACGAAGUCGGAAUCGCUAGUAAUCGCGGAUCAGCAUGCCGCGGUGAAUACGUUCCCGGGCCUUGUACACACCGCCCGUCACACCAUGAGAGUUUGUAACACCCAAAGCCGGGUGGGGUAACCUU